rnacentral:lncRNA from 1 species
CCACAGCUGGAGACAGGGAUAUGCAUACAUCGAGCCCUCGCCAGACCCCACACUGCCAGCUGCCUUGAGCACUGGGCCACUCGCCCCACCCCGAGCUGGAUAGGUAGAGACUUUUGUUUGCAGGUCACCUGGAAGUCAAUCAUGCCUAGGUAAUCAUACAGCUUUGCAUUUGAUUAAUCUACACCGCUUAGGGGUUGCAAAGUUAUCAUAUGCAUAGUUUUAGUUUUAUACAUGACUUUCCUGUUUGUUUCUAUAAUAUAUGUGAUCUGCCAUUUAGCUAACCGUACAAGAGACUAUUUUAUCGUAUUGUCUGUCCUCUUUUUUUUCUUUUUCUAGCUUGUCUUCUGCCUUCUUGUGAUCCAUUUAAAUUUUGCUUUUGCAGAUCGAGCAGCUUUUCUUGUUUCAUUUUGAUGGAUAACAUUUGAAUCCACCACUGGAGGGGUUAUGCCUUGCUGAAAGUGACUUAGUGGUCAGGGAAACAGGGAUAUAUAACAUCUAUCCCUCCCAGCCCCAUUGGCAGGAGCCUUGUACACUGGGCCACCUUGCCUGCCCCUAGCUGGAGGAGAAGAAAGCUUUGUUGGCAGGUCACCUGGAAGUGAAUCAUGCGUAGGUAUAAUACACCUUUGCAAAUGAUUAAUCUAUAUUGGAUAAGAGUUGCAAAGUAUUCAUAUACACAGUUCUAGUUUCAUACAUGGCUUGCUUAUUUGUUUCGGUAAUAUAUAUAUGGUAUUCGCUAAUAGUGAAAUUUUUUUUUCAUUGGUCCUUGUCAUGAUUUUUUCUAGCUUGUUUUCCAUCUAAAGCACUUGAUUGCCGGACUAUUAUUAUGCUUUGCAGUUUGUUUAGUCAUUUAGCAAGAGUUAAGUUUGUGUUUGGAUCAGGGACUUUGAAAUGAUGGAAUUUUGAAGUGAGGGGAUUUCAAAAUGAUGGGAUUUUACGGUGAGGGACUUCAAAAUGAUGGGAUUAGUGUUUUUUUUUCCUUUUCUGAUCCAGGGGAAGGGGAAAGUGAGAAUUGGACUCUGGCCAUGCGUGUGGGAGUAAGUGCUUUACCGGCAUAAAUUUUUUCCGGUACAGUACUAUCAGCAUGUGCUUAUUCUUUAGUGAAUGGCAGAUGAUAUUAUUUGUUCAUUGCAGUGAUUUAUUCGCCUGAUACUGUUCAUUGUAGUCCCCAACUCAUUGUUUGUGGUCUGUAUUUUCUUUAACACGUCAAGAUAGAAAAAAAAGGAAAAAACCUGAGCUUUGAGGUGUACUUUUGCAGGUCAACUUCUGCAUAAGCUAUGUGCAGCAAGUCCUAGGAUACAUGGAAUGCGCAAACCGUGGAGAAAGUUGCUACUUUUGUACUGCUUUUUGUCUGGCAUUAUGCUUUGUCCAUUGGGUUGGCAACUUGCUUUGGAUAUGAAUAAAAAUAUCAUGAUAUGAAAGAAGAUGAGGAAUUGUGAUCACUGUCCCAUGGCCGGGCUUCAUUUUGUGACUGGUCAAUAGACGAUGGCGAUGCAAAGUUGCCUUAUACUUGAAAGUUUGUAGAAGAGUAUUUAAGGUAUACCACCAUUCAUGGUUUACAAGUAGAAUCAAGAUUGAUGUAUUUUUAAUCUGCAGUUAAACUGAAAUUUGGAGAUAUCUCCUUUUAAAAACAGGUUAUACUAUAAAUAUCACAUACCUUGU